rnacentral:rRNA from 1 species
UACGUAGGGGGCAAGCGUUAUCCGGAUUUACUGGGUGUAAAGGGGGCGCAGACGGCGAUGCAAGCCAGGAGUGAAAGCCCGGGGCCCAACCCCGGGACUGCUCUUGGAACUGCGUGGCUGGAGUGCAGGAGGGGCAGGCGGAAUUCCUGGUGUAGCGGUGAAAUGCGUAAAUAUUAGGAGGAACACCAGUGACGAAGGCGGCUUACUGGACUGUAACUGACGUUGAGGCUCGAAAGCGUGGGGAGCAAACAGG